UACGAAGGGGGCUAGCGUUGUUCGGAAUUACUGGGCGUAAAGCGCACGUAGGCGGACAUUUAAGUCAGGGGUGAAAUCCCAGAGCUCAACUCUGGAACUGCCUUUGAUACUGGGUGUCUUGAGUAUGGAAGAGGUGAGUGGAAUUCCGAGUGUAGAGGUGAAAUUCGUAGAUAUUCGGAGGAACACCAGUGGCGAAGGCGGCUCGCUGGUCCAUUACUGACGCUGAGGUGCGAAAGCGUGGGGAGCAAACAGG
rnacentral:rRNA from 1 species